AUUGAACGCUGGCGGCAGGCUUAACACAUGCAAGUCGAGCGGGGUGAUGGUGCUUGCACUAUCACUUAGCGGCGGACGGGUGAGUAAUGCUUAGGAAUCUGCCUAUUAGUGGGGGACAACAUCUCGAAAGGGAUGCUAAUACCGCAUACGUCCUACGGGAGAAAGCAGGGGAUCACUUGUGACCUUGCGCUAACAGAUGAGCUUAAGUAGGAUUAGCUAGUUGGUGGGGUAAAGGCCUACCAAGGCGACGAUCUGUAGCGGGUCUGAGAGGAUGAUCCGCCACACUGGGACUGAGACACGGCCCAGACUCCUACGGGAGGCAGCAGUGGGGAAUAUUGGACAAUGGGGGGAACCCUGAUCCAGCCAUGCCGCGUGUGUGAAGAAGGCCUUAUGGUUGUAAAGCACUUUAAGCGAGGAGGAGGCUCUUUUGGUUAAUACCCAAGAUGAGCGGACGUUACUCGCAGAAUAAGCACCGGCUAACUCUGUGCCAGCAGCCGCCGUAA
rnacentral:rRNA from 1 species